UCAUCCACCCUCAAGACCUCUAUUGAGAAGAGCACUCACUAGUGCUUCCCCUGCAGGCACGCGGGCUCCUGCUCAAAGCCCACCAGAAUGCUCCUGGGGCUCACCACCGACCUGGAUCAGAAGGGCUAAGGCACAAGACCCAUCACUUGCUCAGCAGCACUGGCGGGAAGGGCUGAGAGAACUGAUCCCGCUCCAGGGACUACAACAAAGGAGGCAUUGAAGUGCCCAUGGGUAGAGUUCUAGGGUUUUCUGAAAGUCCAGAGCCAAAGUGACUCUUCAGGGGAAUAGGAGCUUGGGGAAUUCCAGGGUCAGCAAGCUGGAGGCAAUGCACCCACACAGCCUCCGAAAUACUUGUUAGAAGAUGGCAGUGAGCAAAUCUCCUGGCCAGCGAGGAGAGCGGCUGCAGAGCUGGGACACCAGAGGCUCAGGAUGAGGAAGGGGUACGGUGGCACCUGCCGAUGAUCCCAGCAUCUUCAGAGGCUGAGACAGGAGGAUCGUGAGUUCAAAGCCAGCCUCAGCAAAGGACACCAUGACUAAGUACCACAAUCUGUGGGUGGACGUCAGAAAGCUGUGCUCUCCUGGGCUGGAGGUGUUGUCUCUGGACUCAAAGGAUCAAGCCACAUCUUGACCCUGGUGAGAGCCGCGACUUCUCCCUAGGACUCUCUCCCCCACGGGCCAUCAGCUCCACCCCAGGAGAAGUCGGCCUUGGUUCCUGACCUGAUCACCCACCGUGGUCCGAGUGAGGGUGCAUCUGCUGGACUUAGAGCCUGAGGCUUGAGACGUUUGGACUGACACUUGAACUUAGCACGCAGAGGGAAUGUCUGUCGUGAGCCUGUCAAGAGUGUGUUUGCAGUGCUCAGAAUUAAUUAAUCUAGAAUUCUUCACUGUGGAUUAAUUAAUUGAGAAUUGCUUGCUGUGCAUUGACGAUGUGUAUUGCAGUGCCUAGCAUUAAGGAUUGUCGUUUUCUUGAUUAAGAACCUACAGAGUGAAAUUGCAGUGAGUGAUUUGAGUGAAUAAAGCAUGGAUUAGGGCAGAAGCACGUGGACGUUCUAUAUUUCUCCCCCUCGAUGGCGAACGUCACACCUUUUGCCCAUCGUGACGUCCCAUCGCCGGCCCAACCCGAGCAGGCCAGCAGCCUCUGCUCAGCAUCGGCUUGAACACAGCCAGUCACAGUGUCCCAGGCCACGCAGCCACAGAUGACUGUCACACUAAGAAGUGACACAUAGCAUGUCCUCUCAGGUCUCAUAGGCCCAGAGGGCCACCCAACUUCAAAGAGACUGAAAUUGCAAUCCUGCUUCGUUCCUGUCUAGAAGAGGAAAAGGAGACUCCGCAAAGAGACUGUCCCGACUCAACAUCUCGGAGUUUGUCCUUGUGAAGAUCUUUCAUGAUCUUUCUUUUUU